GCCCCACCUCAGAGCCGCCGCAAGGAUGCCGAGGAGAGCAGAGGCAAACUGUCCCCACCAAGCCCUGACCCGACUGCAGAUCUUGAGCCUUCUCAAAAGCUGAAGUGCUUGCCAGGACCAAGGUGGGUAUUAAACCCAUGAAUAAUGGCUGAGGCUUCGUCUGAAGACUCCAUAGUUUCCCUGAGGGGAUGCAUAUUCGUAUUCAUCUUUUAACCAAUGGAGAAACCAGAAGAUGACUCACCCUUCAGAGCUGAGGGGGAAGUCAUGAUGCCCUUGACAAGAAUCCCUCUGGCUUCUGGAUUUUUCUAGGCAAAUGCUUUGCUUCUGCACUGGAUUCCUUGAAGGAGGAAUU